rnacentral:misc_RNA from 1 species
GGGCAAGUGAUUUCUAACAAGCUUCUUUUUAGAAUAUUAGGAAUUAGCAAUUUUUGAAGUGAGGACAUCUUAAUUAAUUUGAAGUGUUUAAUUAUAGUGACAAUACAUAAAAAUUUUAAGAAUGGUAGUAGGCUACCAUUUGCUUGAUACGAUCAUAUUGUUGAUAGAGUUCCAAUUGAAAGAUCUGAAUUGAUUUAGGAUACUUGACAUUGACAAGUUUUCUUUAGAAUUU